AUAAGGAGUCGGACCUGCCCAGUGAAAUUUUCAACGGCCGCGGUACUCUGACCGUGCAAAGGUAGCAUAAUCAUUUGCCUUAUAAUUAAAGGCUAGUAUGAAUGGUUUGACAAGAAUAUAGCUGUCUCUUUAUAAUUAGAUAGAAUUUUAUCUUAAGGUGAAGAAACCUUAAUACAAUUAAUAGACAAGAAGACCCUAUCGAGCUUGAAAAAAAUCUAUAGAGACUAAUUAAUAAGUUUAAAAAAAUCAACUAUUGAACAUUUUGGUUGGGGCGACUAAGGAACAUAUAAAACUUCCUUUAAUUAACAUAUUACAUACAAGUAUUGAUCCAAAAUUUUUGAUUAAAGAAAUUAGUUACCGUAGGGAUAACAGCAUUAUUUUUUUUAAGAGUUCUUAUCGAAAAAAAAGUUUGUGACCUCGAUGUUGGACCAGAAUAUCCUAAAGAUGCAGAAGUCUUUAAAGGUUGGUCUGUUCGACCAUUAAAAUUCUA
rnacentral:rRNA from 1 species